AUUGAACGCUGGCGGCAUGCCUUACACAUGCAAGUCGAACGGCAGCGCGGGAGCAAUCCUGGCGGCGAGUGGCGAACGGGUGAGUAAUACAUCGGAACGUGCCCAAUCGUGGGGGAUAACGCAGCGAAAGCUGUGCUAAUACCGCAUACGAUCUACGGAUGAAAGCAGGGGAUCGCAAGACCUUGCGCGAAUGGAGCGGCCGAUGGCAGAUUAGGUAGUUGGUGAGGUAAAGGCUCACCAAGCCUUCGAUCUGUAGCUGGUCUGAGAGGACGACCAGCCACACUGGGACUGAGGCACGGCCCAGACUCCUACGGGAGGCAGCAGUGGGGAAUUUUGGACAAUGGGCGAAAGCCUGAUCCAGCCAUGCCGCGUGCAGGAUGAAGGCCUUCGGGUUGUAAACUGCUUUUGUACGGAACGAAACGGUCUUUUCUAAUAAAGAAGGCUAAUGACGGUACCGUAAGAAUAAGCACCGGCUAACUACGUG
rnacentral:rRNA from 1 species